AAAAUUGUGUUUUAUUUAUUCAUUUUUGGCUGUACUAGAUCUUUGUCACUGUAUGGGCUUUUUUCUAGUUGCAGCAACUGGGGACUACUCUUCAUUGCAGUGCACAGGCUUCUCUUUUGGUGGCUUUUCUUGUUGAGGAGCAUAGACUUGAGGACACGUGGGCUCAGUAGUUGCAGCUCCCAGGCACUAGAGCACAGGCUCAGUAGUUGUGGUGCACAUUUGCCCCGUGUCAGUUACUCCACAGCAUGUGAGAUCUUCCUUUACCAGGGAUCGAACCUGUGUUUCCUGCAUUGACAGGUGGAUUCUUUACCACUGAGCCACCAGGGAAGCUCAAUAGUGAAGCUCUGAACUUGGGUAGUGACUGCAUAUAGAAAGAGAAGAAUGGAUCUAAGGUAUCAUUUGGAGAUGUGUUGUGCACCACCUCAUCUAACAAGCCUCAGUCUGCCAAGACGCUGCAGGAGGGACACAGCUGUGCUGAGACAGAGGCAGGUGUGACAGGUCUUCAGGGUGGCCUCGUGGGCACUUGUGUCUCUGUGCCCUUGCGGAUGGUCCCUUACUUCCCCACGAUGGAGUGCCAACUCAAGCCUGAGGCUUCGGUUUUAUGCAACCUCAUCUGUAACAUGUGUUUGUUUCCCGGUGUAUCCCCAAGACCUGUCUCAGAGUCCAACACAGUGUAUGUGCUCAUUAAGCCGUUAUGGAAAGAAUGAAUAACAGCUGAGAUCGCACUGCCAGACCACUGAGACCCACUAACUUCCUGAAUGUCUCCUCCUCAGUGUUCUCAAAGCUCUGCGCCCACCCUGGGUACCUUGCUGCAAUAUUCCACCUGUCAACAUGGUCACUGGCUAUAGGGAUGUUCUUGCUUGGCUUACACUGUUUCCUAAUUAUCUUAUGUCCCAGUGGAAUCCCAAGUGGUGUACAGUUUAACAGAAGAGACAGAGCACUUGUAACUUAGUGACAAAUGAUACAAAACAGACUAAUGCCUAACGUAUUGGCACUAAUUCAGUAUUGGAGAAAUUGAGAGAAUUCUCUUUUUUUUAACUUAUUUGUUUUUAAUUGAAGGAUAAUUGCUUUAUAGUAUUGUCUUGGUUUCUACCAAGCAUCAGCAUGAAUCAGCCAUAGGUUUAAUUACCCAUGUCCCCUUCUACUUGAACAUCUCUCCUACCUCCUUCCCUGUUCCAUCCCUCUAGGUUGUUACCAGGCCCUGGUUUUAGUUCCCUUAGUCGUACAGCAAAUUCCCAUUAGCUAUU
rnacentral:lncRNA from 1 species